rnacentral:lncRNA from 1 species
CUUUGAGGAAGUCUGGACACCACCAGUCUGUUCCUCUGGGGAGGCUGUCUUACUGGGCUUGGCGGAAGGAAGUUUAUACUCACAAGGUCCCAGGGCGCUGGGAAUCCUGGCCCACCAGGAGUGACCAAGCAGCUGUGUCCCGGGAGGUGGCUCUCCUGCACCUGGCAGGGCUGUGUCACCUUGGGAGAGGUUUAAAAAUACAGGUUCCUGGAGUUCUCGAUGUGGCUCAGUGGUUAGUGAAUCCGACUAGGCACCAUAAGGUUGAAGGUUCAAUUCUUGGCCUUGCUUAGUGGGUUAAGGAUCCGGUGUUGCCAUGAGCUGUGGUGUGGGGUCGCAGACACAGCUCGGAUCCCGAGUUGCUGUGGCUGUGGUGUAGGCCAGCAGCUACAGCUCUGAGUGGACCCCUAGCCUGGGAACCUCCAUAUGCCGCGGGAAGCAGCCCUAGAAAAGACACACACACACACACACACACACCGCACACACAUACACACACACAUUCAUCCUGAGUUCGCUCAGUGGGUUAAGGAUCCCACAGUGCCGUGAGCUGUGGUGUGGUCGCUGUGGCUGUGGCGAAGGAUCGCAGCUAUUGCUCUGAUUCAACCUCUAGCCUGGGAACUUCCACAAGCCUCGGGUGCACCCUAGAAAAAACAAACCAAAAAUCAAAACAGGUUCCUGAACGACCCACCUCCACACUGAAUCCAAAGGUCUCGGGUGGGGAUUCUGUUUCUCUUUGUAAAGAAGGUAAAUUAAAGGAUAAAGUAAAAGUGGAUCCUAAGUGCUACUACCUGGUUAGCUCUGUUUAGUUUGUUUUUGUUUUUGGCCACACUGGCAUGUGGAAGUUCCCUGGGCCAGGGUUGAACCUGCACUGCAGCAGUGAUAAUGCUGGGUCCUUAACCUGCUAGACCACGAGAGAACUCCACCUCAGUGUACAUUGUACAUCCAUAAUACGUGCACUUAGAAAAAUAGUACGAAAAAGUUCAAGGUGAAAUGUCUCCUGGAUGUCAUCCUGUGUGUAGUUGAGCCUGGAGUUGUGUGGCCUGCGACCAUGAGGGAAGCAGGGCCAAGGCUGAUGAAAACAGCAGAAAACAAAGGACUCUGGUCCCCGAGCAAUGCCAGCCAUUGCAUUAACUCAGUUUGGAAGAGCAUUCCAGAAAAUGAGGGUGGAGUGCACCUCCUCCCAUCCCUGCAGACCCUAAGCCUCCCUACCUCAUCCAGAGUGACUGGGUGCACAUGAAAAAGAAUUGCUACGCAUGUACUUGAAUAUAUGUGUUCUCGAGAAACUAUAUAAAAGGUCACAAGCGCUUUCAACUGCAUUUUUGUUUUCAGUUAAAAUAGGUUAGAGCUCUUCCCUCACCCGCCCCUACAGAUGUGGACCUUGUGUUAGUCAUGAAUAUUGCAACGAAAAGCUCCUCGUAGGCAGGUCCGCCAGCUGCACUUUCCGGAUGAGGAAGAGUGAGACUUGGGUGGCCGCUGCCCGGCGCGUGUGCGGGGCGCCUGGAACCUCGUGGCCAGUCACCCACUCACCCACCCAGGCCUCGGUUUCCCGCUGGUGAGGGGCUUGUUGGUGAGGGCGGGAUGAGGCGGUGCCGCACGGGAAGGGGCCCUGGCUUCCAGUGAGCACCAAGCGCCUCAUCCCGGCUGCUGCGAGGCCGCAGGGCCGCCGAGGCCCCCAGGCCAGAGGGGGCGCUCUGGGGAGGAGGGGUCGGCGAGGGACCACCACGGAGGGAAGGGGUGGGCUGUGCCCAGCGGCGCCGCCUGGGACCCGACGUGCGGGAGACGGAGCUGCGCAGUGAACCCCGCUUUAAACCCGCUCGCUAGGCCCCGCGCAGCGGGCGCGCCUCCAGCUCAGGAAGCCCGAGCGCCGACAGGGUAGGCGGCCAGCGCGUCCCCGCUGGGGCUUGUUUCCUCCUCACAGGGGCUUACGCCGCCGGGGGUGGGGGCCUCAAGGCUCAGGGGGGUCGUUUCCAGGCUCUGGGCCGCGAGCCGGCUCUGUCCCAGGCUAGGGAGGACCAGGGCCCGAGGCCGCAGUGCUGUCACCCGCGCUGGCGUUCUCCGAAGGUGGCGGCCUGGGCGUCCCCUUCCUGGGCAUGACCUAGCAGGUCGUACCGGGCGGGGUGUGGGGGUGGUCACCGCACUGGACCCUUCCCCAGAGGCCCAUCCUUAUGAGCUUUUGCUCCAGGUCUUAGGGGUGCUGGAUUUUGAUUUCCUCCCUUUGACCCAUUGGUGGCGAAGGCCGCCCCUUUAUUCUUCCUGGUUUGUGUUCACUCAGCUCAGCGGCCCUUCCCCACCAUCCUCUCAAGCCCUUGUUCUCAUCCGGUGGUCAUUUCAUUUACUGGUUUACUUUUGAGCUGCGUCUGCCUUUCCUGGACUGUGUCGUGGGCCCUUUACCUGUCACUGUGCCUGCCACCGAGCAGACAUCCGGGAGGAAAUACUUGUUGAUAGGAUGAGGGGAUCCCCAUUUGACAGAUAAGACAGAGGCACCAGAAGCUUCAGGUGGUGCCUCAGCCAGGAUCUGAACCCACAUCUGUCUGCUUCCGCCCUGUGUAGAAGGCGCCUGAGCAUUCCACGUCCAGGUGGAUCAAAUUCACUAGGAUUGGGACCAUGGGCAGAUUACCUUAACUGGAGCCUCAGUGUCCUCUUGCAGAGUGGGGAUGGCCUGGGUUAACUACCGCCCAGGAAUAUGAGCGUGUAGAUUACCUGACGCUUUCAUUUUGGGGGCCUGGAUGGGGACUGAAAGAUCCCUGUGUGAUCUGGUCAACUUGGAUGAACUUGGAUUGAGUUUGAGAACGUCUCUCAGUUGCAUACUAUUAGUGACGCAAGCAGAUACUGGUGUUCCUUCACCCAAGAGCCAUGCACCUGGCAAAGGCCUGACCCUCCCAAAGGCCUGACCCCUGUAGGGACCCAGCAUUGGCCUUGAGCCUGUCCCUUAGGCUGGGAGUCCCACAUUCUCCGGUGGCGACUCACUUCCUGUUUCGGCCUGGAAUUUGGAUGACAGAGAAACAGCACUGUGUCAGCUCCAUGGAAAAGGCUGGGUCUGCCCACCAGAGCCUUAAAGGGACAGCCCUUCUAGGGCAGGGCUUGUCCUGGGGAUUCCUGGUGGUGAGUGGGGUGCUGAUGCAUGGGGCCAGAGAUCGGGAGUCAGGAUUUGAGAGCCCGGGGGCGGUGGGGGGGGGGUGUCUGCUGCCAGAUCCCAUGGGCCUCUUUUCCUCUAAAGACUCUCUUCCACCCUCUUCCACCUCCCAGUGCCCAAUCCAGUUGUUGGGCCAUUGUGGAAGGACCUGCUCUGCCAGGACUUCACUCCUUAAUCCUGUUGAGCUCGGUGCUUGGUCUGGGCCUCUGCUAUUAAACUGGGUAACGGUACCCUACGCUGACUGUGAAAAUUCCAUGAAGUCCUGUUCGUCCAAGGUGGUACACUCAGAUGCUGAUGGGGUCAGAUCCAUGAGUGAAGCUGUCAUGCCUGUGACGAAGGUGAAUUGCAGGGUGCACAGCUGCUUAAGGAAGCUUUAGUUCAACACAUGCUGGUGGCCCAAUUAAGCACCUUCUGUAGGUCAGGGCUCCUGGGACGAUGGGUGGAUGCCUUUCCAAGCUCCUUUAAGAACGGCUAUUCAGCUUUCUGGGGCUCAUCUUGCCCACCUUUAAAAUGGGUCCUCAGUUCCCGUCAUGGCUCAGUGGAAACAAAUCUGACCGGCAUCACAAGGACGAAGGUUCGAUCCCUUGCCUCGCUCAGUGGGUCAUGGAUCCGGCAUUGCCAUGAGCUGUGGUGCAGGUGGCAGACGCGGCUCAGAUCUGAUGUUGCUGUGGCUGUGGUGUAGACCAGCAGCUACAGCUCCGAUUUAACACCCUAGCCUGGGCACCUCCAUAUGCCGUGGGUGCGGCCCUAAAAAGCAAUAAAUAAAUAAGUAAAUAAAAUGGGCCCUCUCACCAGUCCUGGAUUUGGGGUCUGGCUUGAGACACUCGGGACUCUGUGACCUGUGAUGUGCAGUUACUUAUUCUCAGGGUUUGGCUCCUGCUCUCUGACCCCCCAACUCCCUCCCAUUCCCAGACUGUACCACCCCGGUUCUGGUGGUGCCUUAGGGCUGCCCUCCAGGGCUUUGUCUCAGAAGCCCUUCCUAGGCCCCAGCUAUGGCUGUCAUCCUUCUGUUAGCUUUCGGCAGGAGACAUGGCUGUGGGCAGAGCAGGCUUGGGCUUCUCUGAGUGCAGCAGGGUGGGCCAAAACAAACAGGAAGUCCACCAGUCCUGCAGGAAUUUGUGUUAUGGCCACAGGGAGAUGAAGGGCUAGUCAUACUGAUAACCCCAUUUCUCUUGGGUGUUUUACAUGCAUAUCCCAUGGCAAGGUUGCUGCAACCCCUAAGGCAUGUGUCUGUGUCUGUGUUGCCAUGGGAGAAGCUGCUGCUCAGAAAGGUUGAGUGACUUGUCUGAGGAUACCCAGCUGGGACUCAAAUUUGGAAUUUUCUCUCUCUCAAGUCUAGACUCUCUCCUCCUGUGUUACUUUCUUUACCUGGUCAAGAUACAAUCCAUGUUUUCAUGGAGUUUGUAGGGAGUUCCCGAUGUGGCUUAGAGGGUUUAGAACCCGACAUGGUGUUGAUGAGGAUGAUGUGGGUUCGAUCCCUGGCCUCUCUGAAAUGUGGCUCCAGUUCUGGUGUUGCUGUGGCUGUGGUGUAGACCAGCAGCUGCAGCUCUGAUUCACCCUUAGCCCAGGGACUUCCGUAUGCCACAGGUGUGGCCAUAAAAAGAAAAACAAAAAUCAUGAGUUCCCGUCGUGGCUCAGUGGUUAACAAAUCCGACUAGGAACCAUGAGGUUGCGGGUUCGAUCCCUGGCCUUGCUCAGUGGGUUAAGGAUCUGGUGUUGCUGUGAGCUGUGGUGUAGGUCGCAGACGCGGCACCAAUCCCACGUGUUGCUGUGUCUCUGGCGUAGGCUGGUGGCUACAGC